AUUGUUUUUCAAACAAAAAGAAGCAGAAUGCUUCUUCUUCCCUGCUCCCUUUCCAUUUUUCUUUGCUAGGAAUUCAACCUAGCUUACGCCACCCUGGAGGAUCAUCGGUGCCACGCACCUCCACCCCACCGCCGGUUCACGGAUCAAGACCAGAUAUAGCUGCGAAAAUCUCGGAAUCGAGAGGCGUGGCGGAGUGGGACGCUGGUGAGAGGUGUGCGGCGCUAGGACUCAUGCAACAACUUUGAGUCUCUGUUCGUUUGGGCCUUGUUUGGGUCUAUUUUUGUGCCUAUUUUUCUUGUAUUGGAUCAUGGCAUGAAUUUGGUCCUACAAAUUACUUUCGUAAAGAGUAUACAAUAAGGAAUUUUCAAUUA